rnacentral:rRNA from 1 species
UGGGGAAUUUGGACAAUGGGCGAAGCCUGAUCCAGCAAUGCCGCGUGUGUGAAGAAGGCCUUCGGGUUGUAAAGCACUUUUGUCCGGAAAGAAAUCCUUGGCUCUAAUACAGUCGGGGGAUGACGGUACCGGAAGAAUAAGCACCGGCUAACUACGUGCCAGCAGCCGCGGUAAUACGUAGGGUGCAAGCGUUAAUCGGAAUUACUGGGCGUAAAGCGUGCGCAGGCGGUUUGCUAAGACCGAUGUGAAAUCCCCGGGCUCAACCUGGGAACUGCAUUGGUGACUGGCAGGCUAGAGUAUGGCAGAGGGGGUAGAAUUCCACGUGUAGCAGUGAAAUGCGUAGAGAUGUGGAGGAAUACCGAUGGCGAAGGCAGCCCCUGGGCCAAUACUGACGCUCAUGCACGAAAGCGUGGGGAGCAAACAGGAUUAGAUACCCUGGUAGUCCACGCCCUAAACGAUGUCAACUAGUUGUUGGGGAUUCAUUCCUUAGUAACGUAGCUAACGCGUGAAGUUGACCGCCUGGGGAGUACGGUCGCAAGAUUAAAACUUAAAUGAAUUGACGGGGUCAUAGCUGUUUCCU